rnacentral:misc_RNA from 1 species
GAUGAAGAACGUAGCGAAAUGCGAUAAGUAGUGUGAAUUGCAGAAUUCAGUGAAUCAUCGAAUCUUUGAACGCACAUUGCGCCCCUUGGUAUUCCAUGGGGCAUGCCUGUUCGAGCGUCAUUUGUACCUUCAAGCUCUGCUUGGUGUUGGGUGUUUGUCUCGCCUCUGCGUGUAGACUCGCCUCAAAAUAAUUGGCAGCCGGCGUAUUGAUUUCGGAGCGCAGUACAUCUCGCGCUUUGCACUCAUAACGACGACGUCCAAAAGUACAUUUUUACACUCUUGACCUCGGAUCAGGUAGGGAUACCCGCUGAACUUAAGCAUAUCAAUAAGCGAGGA